ACUUUGGACAAGCCUUCUCUUGACUGCCCUUGGGAAACAAGCAGGGUCAGGCCUGGUUAGUACUUGGAUGGGAGACUGGCUCAGAAUACCAGAUGCUGUAAGGG
rnacentral:rRNA from 12 species